AUCUCCUAUACUAAGCUCAUAGCUAGCACUAAGUACAUCCUAGUAUAGGAACAACUAUUGCAUCGACUAAAACAACCAAGUAACUAAGGAAACUUGUUGAGCUUAUUCAGACCACUUCUCCAAUGCCUAUACUUACUGCCUCGAACAUGGAUGGACAAUGUUAACUCUCGGCAUAGCUGAUCUUCUUGGAACUUGACACUAUUAAAUCUUAUGUUAUUCCUUUCUCGCCAUAUAAGAGCAACAGUAUGGAUGAAUGCACAGACAGUUAUAGCAUUAAGAACCACUCGACUCUUAGCCUUGCUACAUACCCAUUGCAACUCA
rnacentral:lncRNA from 1 species